UACAGAGGUGGCAAGCGUUGUUCGGAAUUACUGGGCGUAAAGGGUUCGUAGGUGGCCAACUAAGUCAGACGUGAAAUCCCUCAGCUUAACUGGGGAACUGCGUCUGAUACUGGAUGGCUUGAGUGCAGGAGAGGAAUGCGGAAUUCCAGGUGUAGCGGUGAAAUGCGUAGAUAUCUGGAGGAACACCGGUGGCGAAGGCGGCAUUCUGGACUGUAACUGACACUGAUGAACGAAAGCCAGGGGAGCAAACGGG
rnacentral:rRNA from 1 species